rnacentral:rRNA from 1 species
CGUAGGUGGCAAGCGUUGUCCGGAUUUAUUGGGUUUAAAGGGUGCGUAGGCGGCUUUGUAAGUCAGUGGUGAAAUAUGGCAGCUCAACUGUCAGGGUGCCAUUGAUACUGCGGAGCUUGAGUACAGAUGAGGUAGGCGGAAUUGACGGUGUAGCGGUGAAAUGCUUAGAUAUCGUCAAGAACACCGAUAGCGAAGGCAGCUUACUGGGCUGUAACUGACGCUGAGGCACGAAAGUGUGGGGAUCAAACAGGAUUAGAUACCCUGGUAGUCCACACUGUAAACGUUGAUGACUCGCUGUUGGCGAUACACGGCCAGCGGCAGAGAGAAAUCGUUAAGUCAUCCACCUGGGGAGUACGCCGGCAACGGUG